rnacentral:misc_RNA from 1 species
CAGAGUUCGUGCCCUCACGGGUAGAUCUCCCACCCUGUGUUAUUAUACCUUUGUUGCUUUGGCGGGCCGCUUCGGCUACCGGCUUCGGCUGGUAAGUGCCCGCCAGAGGACCCUAAACUCUGAAUGUUAAUGUCGUCUGAGUACUAUAUAAUAGUUA